CAAGCAGUGAUGAAAAGCUAACACGUAAGAAAAUAUCCCAAUUUGUUUGGGAAUUCUCAAAGCAAUACAAUUGUUUUGCUUGGUAUUUGAGCACU